GCCACCUCCCGCUCACCAAACCAGAGUUCCUGUAGAGCGUAACGUAUACCAACUAUGCUGUUGUUGCUGUUGUACUUUGUGUUUUUUCUAAGUAUGUAUCAACAGAACCCUUGCUCAUCUGCAGAUCUUAAGCAGCUCUGGGUUGCUCUCCUCCCCCUUCACCAACAGAUAACAGUACUGAGUUCAGCGCUCUCUGGCUUCAAUCCACAGGCAUACAUAAAUACACAGGAGACAGGUGCUGCCAUGAAGAAAGUACAAUGUUCAGCCAAUCGUUUCUGUGAAUGCAGUUCAGUGUGUGGCUAGAUUGAUUACCAGAUGAUUCCCAUGCCCAAGAACAGCUUUAAUGAUAGCUACAUGAACACUUCCUCUUUGAGCCCACAAGAGUGGGAAAAAAUUCUCUCCAGAACAGUUCUUCUAUGGUAACUUUUGCCUCCUGACUCCCGUAUCUAAUCCUGGUGGGGGACCAGAGCUGAAAAAGUUUUAUCUGAAUAUGCUAAACCAAACAAUUCAAUGUAGGUUUGUUUAAAAUUGGGAAUUCUUUUUUAAUAGGAAGGACUUAGGUUUCUGGGUUUUCCCCUUCAAGAUUGUUCUUCCAUGCCUAAUUAUUAAUGAUUGUUUUUUAAAAAAUCUUGUACACUAUGUGGUUAGUUAUUGACUGAUAAGUAAAAAGAAGACUGACGUUUUCUCCAUGUCUUUGUGGUAAUUGAAUGGCAUCUUCUACAGGAAAUGUGUAAUAAUAACACAGUCAAAUUGUUUGUGGAAGCAAAAACAUUCUAAAAAAAAAAGCCAGGCACUGUUAUAUUCCUUGCAUAAAUUCUGCAGUCAAUAUAGCUUGGAUUUUAGAUCCUGAAGUAUUAAACUAGGGUGACCUUAUGAAAGUAGGGUUAUGAAUUACACCUGUGUGGGUGUAAAAUGUUAUCAAAUCAGAUUUUUACUCCCACUUUGCGCUCACAGAGGUAAGGAUUACACAAGGUGGGAAAUCAGGACCACUUAAUAGGAUGCUUCAUGUGUUGUCAUUUCAGGUGGGAGUGUAAAUUAGGAACACAUCAUUCAUUUGGCAGCUGGAAUUGUAGUUUUGAUCCAUCACUUCAAGUUUAAAUGUGGAUCCAUCUAUAGUUUCAGAAAGUAAAUGAAUGCUGACCAUGCAUUCAGUGUGCAUGUUCAGGUAUCACAGUGAUGAGAACAUGAUAAAAGACUGGUGAGAUUAGAUUAGCUAGGUCUGGUAACCCAUAGUCAAAAUCAUAUGCCAAUCCACUUUACAAGGAGGGAAGGAUUAGAAUUGAUUCCCAUUACCUUUCAUUCAGGCAGAUAUGUGCUAGCAAUCAUAAGGUAUCCUUGUGGACUUCUCCAGCAGUAGAAUUUGUUCCUAAAACUCCUGAUUUAAGACCAUAGCACAUUCAUUAAAUAGGGCACAGAAAUCUAUAGCAGUGCUUUCAGCAUAGCAGCACAGAGAGAGCUAAAGCAAUGAGCCAUUACAAUAUCUAAUUCAUAUAAUGUUGAGAGUAGCUGCUUAGGAAGAGUGAACAUGAGUUGAUGGUAAGUUAUAUGAGCUCAUCCUUGUCAAGGCCCCCAUUAAAGGACUAAGCCUCGGACGCAAUUGGAUUAGUGAGAUCUUUUGUAUAACAUCAGAGCUAAUAAAAUGAAGACACAAAUGCACUACAUAAUCAAAAGUAAAUUGAAUUCUGUCCGUUUUCAGAUCACUCUCUAUUUGCUCCAUAUGUACUCUCUUCUGGUAAUAGCAGAGAUCAUAUUGUCUCUCUAGGUAUCCUUGAGGCAGGAAUUUGCAAAGCAAUUUCAAUAUAGCUGGGAUUUUAGAUCUGGAAGUGUUAAAGAGGAGUGACCUUAUGAAAAUAGGUUUAUAAAAUGUGUAAUUAACUACAAUUAAUGUUAAGUUUAAGGGCAACCCAUUUAUGACGUGAUUAUAUUUAAAAAAAAACUGAAUAAAGCAAUUCUGCGUUGUUUUAAAAGGGCAUAGCCUACAAAGAUAGAUAUAAAAAGUAGGGUUGAAUAGGACUUAGUCUAUCACUGAACCCAGUCUUCUUCCAGUGCAGGAGUCUUCCCUGAAAUAGAACUUCUAGGGUGAAAUCUAGAACCUGCUAAAAUCAAUGGGAUUUCACCCCUACUACUUCAUCUACAUUAAUUUAAGAGGACAGAAUUAUGGUGCUUGUACCACUUCCAUUCAAAGCUAUUCUAAUAAAUCUCACUGUAGGGACAUUUAUCCACGUACUGGGCCUCAUUCAUCAAUACGUUAUUUGGGUUUCACAUUCCUAUAACUUCACUGAUUUCUAGCAACUAUUUCCUAGCGGAUUUCUAGCAAUCGUUUCCUAGCAUUUCCUAGCAGUUUGUGGUAGUGUUGGUGUUUCUUUACGGGUGUUUUUUGCUGGAGGUUAUUUUGGUGGGGGGGCAUUAGUCUAUGCAGCACUCACAAGACUCCUGGGGCAUGUCUACACUAGAAAUUAUUUUGAAAUAACUUAUUCUGAAUAUU